UCCGCGUUCAAAGAAUCGCAUUCAAAGCUUACGCACAGCAGAGAGACAGAUUUCUGUCAGACUGCAUACCCCAUGUUUUCUUCGUAGGAGGAAAACCCAGCUUUGGGAGAAAGUCCCCGGACCGCCCUACCCUUCGAAACUCUUGUUUCGAGGAACGUCAGGACCUGCCGAAAGGCGCCGCCAUAAAGGCAUUUUCACUGCGGCUCUCUUUACUUAUUCUCUGCCUCCCGCUCUCCCUCGAAACCAUGCCUGCUUGACCUCCGACCUUGCUGUCGUUUGUACUCCGUGCGGAUGCCCGAUCUGUUGUCCCGUUGUUUCAAUGCCGAAGGUUGUCUGGGUGGAUGAAGACAUGAGUCCGCCCCUCGGGCUUCGGCUAGAUGCCAUUGACGCAAAGAACACGAGACUUGAUCGUGGCCAUCUGCCGGAAGAGAUGGUGAGGGUAUACUGGGACAUCGGUUUGUAGGCAUUGUGCGUUCGAGGGACCAAGAGUUGGACUGGAGGUUGCGCAAUUCGUCACAUGCAUAUAGUUAUGCGAUUGCUCAGCAUACGUCUUGUCUCUUUCUGCUUCGGCGGGAAGGGAGAGGCUGCGGAGUAACUCGACGGGGCUUAUUCUUGAGGCGCGG
rnacentral:RNase_MRP_RNA from 2 species